GAAAAAGUCUUUUUCAAGACUACCAAAUUUUUUUGAAAGAUUAUUU
rfam:Anopheles sinensis unplaced genomic scaffold AS2_scf7180000694925, whole genome shotgun sequence.